GAAUAUGCAAAGUCUCUGGCCCCACCCCAGACCCACUGAAUCAGAACCCUGGAGAUGGGCUCAACAGUCUGAGGUUUCACAGUCCCUCCAGGUGUUUCUGAUGCCUGUUCAAGUUUGAGAAUCAAUGGACUAAAGUCUUGAUGAACCACAAACAGCAUUGGAAGAUCAAAUCUUCCAUGUCGCACUAUUGCUUCUGACAAUGUAUCAAACCGCAUCACUUUUUCAGCUUUGGAUCUUACCCUCUGCAGAAGUUCCUUAUGUAAUAGAUUUCAUGUUAAGAAAACAGGGUUUCCUGCAGUUCUGAACAUUCACAGAAACUCGAUUCACCACCAGAAUCUUAGGAGGCAUUUUGGCGUCUGAUGCAAUUUAGAACUUAAAUGGAGACACAAUCUGAUGCCUGACCUGAAUUGUUUAACUAUAAAAUAUGUUCCUAUUAGGAAAGUCACAUACAACAAAAGGAAACAUACUGUGAGAGAAGACUGGGGAAAAAUUAAAUGACUUCCCAAAGCCUAAACCUCUGAAAUAUGUUAGUCCCUUUUACUUUAGGGUAACAACAAAACAUUUUUUUAAACAUUCUGAAAGCUUUAAAAUGUACACAUAUUAUAACAUCUUUAUACUCCUGAAUUUCAGCAGCUGAGGGAAAAAGAAAAUUCUAAUUAUUAGGUGUAUAUAUGCAUGUGUAUGUUGUUGAGAAAAAUGUAAUAUGUAUAUAAAUAUAUAAUAUAGAUGCUAUAUAUGUAAUACAUAGAUGCUGUAUAUACAUAGUAGUGUUGUUUUUCAAACAGCUGACUGUGACUGGAUUGUGGCUCUUGAAAUCUCUACUUGGUUGGUCAUGAUCUGCAUUAAAAACUUCAA